rnacentral:rRNA from 1 species
AACGAACGCUGGCGGCAUGCCUAACACAUGCAAGUCGAACGAGACCUUCGGGUCUAGUGGCGCACGGGUGCGUCACGCGUGGGAACCUGCACUUAGGUUUGGAAUAACUCCCCGAAAGGGGUGCUAUUACCGGAUAAUGGCUUCGGCCCAAGGAUUUAUUGCAUUUGGUUGGUCCAGCGUUGGAUUAGCUCGUUGGUACGGUUAAAGCCUACCAAGGCGACGAUCAAUAGCUUGGCUGAGAGGAUGCUCAGCAACACUGAGACGCAGACACGGCCUAGACUCCUACGCGAUGCAGCAGUGGGGAAUAUUGGACAAUCGGCGAAAGCCUGAUCCAGCAAGGCCGCGUGAGUUAUGAAGGCCUUAGGGUUGUAAAGCUCUUUUACCCGGGAUGAUAAUGACAGUACCGAGAGAAUAAGCUCCGGCUAACUCCGUG